AAAAAGCAAAAAAAAAAAAAGAAAAAAGAAAAGAAAGCUGGAGGGGGGAGGGACCACUUGUCACUGUAUAGAAGUGUCCUGGCUUCACAGGACAUCUAGCAUCUCUCGCCAAAAGGGUUCCACAAUCAUAGUGACAAUCAAACAUGGUCUUACAAAUUUCUAGUCCCCUCCCCCCAGGGCAGUGGCAUCAUUCUGUUGAGAACCAUCCAUAAAUAAUACCUUAUGUCACCCUUACCAACACCUUGGACUGGGUAUCUUUAUUUUAUUCAUGUGGAAAUUGGCUCAAAGAGGUCAAGAAAUCUGCUGAGGUCUCUGUAUGCUCAGGCCACUCAAGAUGGCUGUGCUCUUGCUCUCUGAACAUCCCCCUGCUUGACCAGUGCGUGCUUCACCUCCACCCCACUUACAUGAUGGACCUGCCUAUGUACUGGCCGCAGGCACCAGCUAGUGAUUAUUCUUAUCAAAAGGGCAGCAAGGGGCGUGUCCCUCUGCUUGUUUCCGUGGUAACUAAUGAGCCGACCUGACGUCAAUUCCCCUUAUAACUGGCAAGCUUCCCUUCCCGCCUGGAGCGAAGACUGCUGCUCUGUCCUGCCACAAGCCACGCAGUGGGGUGUCACUCCAGGACCCUGCUCCAUACCCGAACAUAAGAAACCCAAGGUGUCAUGUGAGAGGCCUUUGUGGAGAAACUCACAGGGAGAAGAACCAAAGACCCACACCCAGGACCCGUUCUGACCCAGCCUCUGGCCAGUACCAACUGCCAGCUAUGUGAGAGGCCAUUUUGGAACUUCCAACAGUACCAGUGGCCCAGCUGACACCACAUGAAGAAGCACGGCCAGCCAACGCACAUAACUGUGAGAAAGAAAUUGUGAAUUUUAAGAUACUAAGCUUUGGGAUGGUGUGUGACACAGAAAUAAAUAACUGAAAUAACUGUC